GGAUCAAGUGAUGUGAACUGGACAGAGCAGUACAGCAAGUGAUCGAUCAGACCACGCCCCUUUUCUGACAUGUUGAGACAUGCCCUGGUUUGCAGAGAACAGCAUUCAGUUUAGUUUCACUUUGCAAGAUAAGCUUCAGGUUGUGUUCGUGUGCGUCAGUGACCACAAGUAAGUUGUCAUUAGUUAUAAAGUAUUAUAAGUUAAUAAGUGACUUUAGCAUUUGAUGGUUAAAUGUCAGUAACAGCCUUUUUCUCUAUUAUGUGUAGAUGGUAUGGCAUUCUUAUUGAAGUUCACAUUUCAGAAUAUGUUUAGCCCUGUUUAUUUAAAUGACUAGAGAGAGUAUUAGCCUCAGUUGUGUUAUGUUAGUUGACAUCAAUGUUUAUUUCCUUUUCUUUAGAACCACACCUACACAGUAAAGUUUAUACAUAGAAAUAGUGCCUGUGCAUCUGUAUUAGGAAAGUAUACAUUAAAGCUUUCAACAAGUAUUCCUGCCUUCCGUGUCCUGACUAGACACCCCAUAUUGGUGACUAAUUUUCGCAACCAGUAGAGCCCCAUUACAAUUUAUGGUCCUUCGAGCCGGAUCAGAGUCAACGAUAUGGCAACCAGUAAAGAAGGAAUCAGCCUCCCUGUUUCACCUGUGCGCCCCAAACGUGCAGUGCAACGCCCAAGAUAUCUGGAUGAUUUCUUAGUCGAAUAUACAGACCAGCAUAGCUUAGCGCAGAUGCACAGGCACGAAGAGGAAAGGAAUCUACUCAGUCCUGCUAGAAGCAUAUCCUCAAUGACACCAAUGCAGAAUGCAAAUGACGCCAUUGUUCAUCAGGCUUUGGAGACAGCGCGCCAACAGAGUGAAACGGCCAAGAAACAAACAGAGCUUUUGGAGUUUUUCCUGCAGCACCAUUCCCUUCAGACCUCAGCUCAGUGGUCAAGGAGGUCAUCACGGCAUCAGACCCCAGUAAGAAAACUCUAUCCAGACCGAGGAGGUGAACCACAGCCUUCCCCAGCCCUUGCUCCUCACCACCACAGAACUGAGGAUCACCCAAGUGAAACUGCAGAAAUAAGCCAUCAGCUAGAACAAAUGACACUUCCUCCGCCUCUUAGCCGAGUCAUUCAACCCCCUAAGCACACGCUCAAUCCAUGCCAUGACAUUCAGUCUAUUAAGCAGGAUACUGAAUACGAUCCACCAGCUCACCUUCAGCCCAGCCAUCCUAAAGGGUCACCCCAGGGCCUACAGCAUUCAGUAGGCUUUCUAAGAAAUGUCUCCUCAGAUAGCUCACUCUUAUCCUAUCCCAUUUCAAGUAACUGUAAGCUCAACGCAGCUACAACCAGCAGCCAGCACAAGGAAAGUGGAGAGUCUCAGUUAGGAAAUCCACAUCGGGUGCCACUUGAGCCUCAUAACUAUCUUCCACAUGUGGCUCCUCCCAGAUCGCUACAUGUAAGUCCAGCUACUGAUCAGAUGAUGCCUCUACCCAUGCACCAGUCAACAUUCCAGCCUCCUUAUGUACCCCAACCAUUCUACCAAGGAAAUCCAGCCAUGUUGGCUCAUUAUCCCUCCACUGGGUAUCAGCAUCCACCCCUCAAUAUAGAAGGCCCAACAUUUCCGGACUUCACCCAGGAGGAUAGAGCUCAAUAUGUGGAGCUACGCCUUUCUCUUAGCACCCUUCUUCAUCCAUCUCAGUCGGAGCAUUACAAGUAUGCCAUCUUGCUGAAGCAUGUCAAGGUGCCACAAGCUCAUCGCCUAGUGCUAGCCCAUGCAGAGUCUAAUAUGCCCUACUCUGAAGCUCUGAAAGCGCUGGAUGAACGCUAUGGACGUCCAUAUCAGUUUGUGCUGAAAGAGAUAGAGGACAUGGAACGCCUACCCCCGAUCCGAAGUGAUAGGGCACUUGAUGAGUUCUCCAUUAGAGUGCAGUCACUAGUCGGCAUGCUGAAAGCUCUCAGAGGUGAAGGCCAUGAGGAACUCCACUGUGGCUCAAAUGUGAAGCGCCUUCUAAGCAGGCUCCCCAAGCACCAGCAAGAGCGAUUUCGUCGUCAACAGUAUAGGAAGGAUCCUGAUAAGUUGAAGCUAACGCUCACUGACUUUUCAGAAUGGCUAAAGGCAGAAGUCAGAUGCCUGGACAUUGAGCCCUCACUUCAAGCUCACAGUGAGAAAGAUAGGAGAGAAUACAAGCAGCAGAAGUCCAAUGUUAAGAUCACUACUGUUAUGCAUGGGACAGGCAGUUCCAGUAACCAUCCAUCCAACACGCCCUCCAAGGUAGCUCAUUCUAUCCGAACCCAAGUGAAGGGUAAGAUAUACUGCCCUUACUGUGAAGCAGAACACUACCUCAGCCAAUGUGAGAGUUUUGCUAAGCUUACCAAAGCAGAGAUGGUGGACUGGAUUAAAGUCAAGAGAAGGUGCUGGAGAUGCGGACGUUCCCAUCUAGCCUCCGCCUGUGACCUCAAGAAACCGUGUCGCCUCUGCAAGUCAAAGCACCUUUCUGUUCUACAUGAGGUUAAUCAGAGGAGUGAGAACGAGCCUACCAUCAUGUCGACAGCAGAGACUCACUACCUGGAUCAGCCAAAUAGAUAUAGCCAGGUGCUUUUGAAGAUUGUCAGAGUCAAUUUGCAAUACCAGGAUAAAGUACUCGACACAUAUGCAGUGCUGGAUGAUGGCUCUGAGAGAACUAUCCUGCUUUCAUCUGCAGCACGCCGCUUGGGAGUACAGGGUCAAGCAGAAGACCUCACACUCCGUACUAUCCGUCAAGACAUCAAGAUACUGUCAGGCUCUCGUGUGUCAUUUACGAUUACUCCUGCUUCCCAACCAACGAAGAGGUUCUCCAUUCAAGGCGCAUUCACGGGUGAACACUUAGGCCUUUCUCAGUACAGCUACCCAGUUACCCAGCUCCAAAGAAGAUAUCGACAUCUACGAGGUCUGACAAUUCCACCCAUUGAUGGAGCUCAGCCAACCCUCCUGAUUGGAUCAGAUAAUGCUGAUCUGAUCGUUCCGAUUGAGCCAGUGCAUUUAGGUCCCCCUGGUGGUCCUGCAGCGGUCAAGACUAAGCUCGGUUGGACACUCCAAGGCCCAGCAAAAUACCUGCAGCAACAGCUUCCCACCACACAGUGCUUGUUCACCACAGUUUCCUCCCCAUCUGUUGAGCUGUUCAGUCAAGUUGAACGGUUGUGGCAGUUAGAUACACUGCCUUUCAAAAGUGAGAGGUUAGUGACCAGAUCCAGACAGGACAAGUACUCAGUGGACUUAUUAGAGGCCGAGACCAUCCGUGUAGAAGUGAACGGAGUGCAUCGGUACGCUACACCCCUUCUACGAGUCCCAAACAUGCCCAAGCUGAAAGUUUCAAAGGAAGUUGUGAUGAAGAACCUGCGAAACACAGAGAAAAGGUUAGUGCAAGACCCACUGCGUGCAUCUACCUACCGAGAGGAGAUCAAGAAACUGGAGAUUGCUGGGUAUGUCAACAAGAUUGACUCCUGUGAAGCAGACUCAUCAGAAGAGUCAUGGUUUCUGCCCCACCACAUGGUCAGACACAAUGGCAAGGAACGGAUUGUUUUCAACUGCAGCUUCCAGCUUGGCAGACAAAGUUUGAAUAACUACCUCCUUCCUGGCCCAGCCUUAGGACCCUCACUCCUUGGAGUCCUCCUGCGCUUCAGAGAGCAUCGAGUCGCAGUAAGUGGUGACAUUAAAGGGAUGUUUCACCAGAUCCGCCUUCUGGACAGAGACAAGCCCUUGUUGAGGUUCCUUUGGAGGGAUCUAAAGACAGACGAACAGCCAUCAGUGUACCAGUGGGAGGUCCUGCCAUUCGGGACAACGUGCAGCCCCUGCUGCGCGAUCUUUGCUCUACAGAAACACGUCAAUGAGUCAAGUCAACCAGGGGAGAAUGUCCGCCACAGUGUCGAACAGUGCUUCUAUGUUGAUAACUGCCUGCAGAGUUUACCCACUGUAGUAGAAGCAAGUAACCUUGUGACGAGGCUUAGAAACCUUCUAGCUGCAGGUGGCUUCGAAAUUCGUCAGUGGGCCAGUAAUCAGCCAGAGGUGAUUUGCAACCUGCCUAAGGAGGCCAAGUCUGAUAGCAGCGAAAGAUGGGUUUCUGAGAUGCAUGGUGAAGCUCAAGAGAUGACGCUAGGCCUCAGUUGGCACUUCAUGGAGGACACACUCCAUUACAGGCAUCGCCCGGUUGCCCCAAGCCAGACCACCAUGCGACAUAUCUAUAAGAUAUUAGCAAGCCAGUAUGAUCCCCUAGGUCAUAUCCUGCCAUUCACCACAAGGGCCAAAGUUUUGGUCCAGAGACUGUGGGCCAAAGACCGUGACUGGGAUGACUCAAACUUACCGGUCGACCUCCUGCAAGCCUGGACUACAUGGGAAGAAGAGCUCCCUCAGCUCCCAAAGAUCAGUCUCUCCCGGAGUUAUUUCCCACUGGACGUGGAUGUAAGUGCCAUCACCCUCGAGCUUCACGUCUUUUGUGAUGCAUCAGAGUCCGCUUAUGGGUCGGUUGCUUACCUACGUGGUGAGGAUCCUCAAGGCCAAGUCCAUGUAGCCUUUGUGCUGGCACGCUCAAGAGUGGCACCGAAGAAACAACAGUCAAUGCCACGCCUUGAGCUCUGUGCGGCCCUUACCGGAGCUCAGCUUGCCCAGAUGAUCCAGAGGGAGCUCACCCUUCAGUUGAGGGACACAGUGCUAUGGUCUGACUCCACCACCGUACUUGCCUGGAUAAAGUCAGAGUCCUGCAGAUACAAGGUGUUUGUAGGAACUCGUAUAUCUGAGAUUCAGGAGCUAACAGAUCACCGGGCAUGGAGGUAUGUGGACACUCAGAAUAACCCUGCAGAUCCUAUCACAAGAGGGAUGACAUUAUCCAACUUAGCCAAACCAAACCAGUUCAGCCAAGGUCCAGCCUUCCUCCGGUUACCACGUGAGAGUUGGCCAGCUACAAAUUCUUUCGUGGAGGUCCCAGAUGAAACAGAGAUGAAGAGGUCUGCUUUCUGUGGGUUCAUGUCAGCCAUUACUGCUCCAGAGAUCCCAGCCCCUGAAGACCACUCUACCUUUGAAGAUCUCCUUGAGGCAACAAGUAAGUCCCUUCACGGGGCGGCCUUCCAGUCGAGCGCCCUCAGUGCGGAUGACUACGGAGAGGCUGAACUCCGAAUCCUUCAGAGAGCACAAUAUGAUAGCUUUCCGGAUGAAGUUAAGUGCCUAAAAGCAGGGAAAGCACUUCCAUCUAGCAGUCGGCUCUUGUCACUUGCUCCAGAGUACGACGUCUCUAUGGGCCUUAUCCGAGUAGGUGGUAGACUGCGCCGUUCUACUAGUCUGGAAGAAGAUGUCGUACACCCAAUUGUGCUAGAACCGAAGCACCAUAUUACCAAACUUAUCAUACGGCAAUAUGAUAACCAGUUACUCCAUCCUGGAUCAGAGAGGGUCUUCGCAGAGCUCCGACGCAAGUUUUGGAUCCUCCAAGGCCGCGAAGCUGUGCGUCGUCAUCAGAGAUCCUGCCCAGAGUGCCAGAAAUGGAGAGCAAAGCCUGUUAUUCCUAAGAUGGCGGAUCUACCCCCUUGUCGUCUCCGCCUCCUGAAGCCUCCAUUUUAUUCGACAGGAGUAGAUUGCUUUGGCCCGUUCCAGGUCAAGCGAGGUCGGAGUACGGAAAAAAGAUGGGGAAUUGUUUUUAAGUGUAUGACGACCAGGUGCGUUCACCUUGAUGUGCUGUCUAACAUGGAUACCGACUCGUUCCUCAUGUCACUUAGAAGGUUCGUGGCUAGACGAGGAACUCCCUUUGAGCUUCUGUCUGACUGUGGGACCAACUUCCGCGGAGGGGAGCACGAGCUUAAAGCAAGUUUUGAGGCCAUGGGUGAAGAGCUGCAAAUCAAGUUGGCUAAGCAACAGAUCCGAUUCCAGUUCAAUCCACCAAAUGCACCUCACUUUGGUGGAGCCUGGGAGCGGGAAGUCAGAUCCAUUAAGGCUGCACUCUACGUCACUCUGGGAGCACAGACAGUGACCGAAGAAGUUUUGCAGACAGUUCUGAUUGAGGUGGAAGGAAUCCUCAAUUCCAAGCCACUGGGCUACGUGUCAACAGAUGUAGCCGAUGCGGAUCCCGUAACUCCCAACUACCUCCUCAUGGGGCGGCCUGACUCUUCGCUUCCUCAGGUGGUGUACCCUGAGUCUGAGAUUCUAAGUCGGAGAAGAUGGCGGCACAGUCAGGUGUUAGCUGACCAGUUUUGGACCCAUUUCAUUCGUAGCUACUUGCCUUUCUUGCAGUCAAGGCAGAAAUGGGUAAAGGACACUGAGAAUCUCACUGUUGGUACAGUGGUGAUGGUAAUUGACCAAAGGUUACCUCGGGCAUUGUGGCCAGUGGGACGAGUAACGAAGACCAUUAGGAGUGUCGAUGGUAAAGUGAGGACUGCUGAGGUACAGGUGGAAGAGAGAACCUACACCAGACCGGUGGCCAAGCUCAUUGAGCUGCCGGCCAUUCCGGAUAAUGUCUCGACCACAGCUCCGGUGGAUAGUUGAGUCUUUCUAGAAGAUAAUUCACAUCGUGAAUUAUGGGGCGGCUGUGCAAAAGGAUCAAGUGAUGUGAACUGGACAGAGCAGUACAGCAAGUGAUCGAUCAGACCACGCCCCUUUUCUGACAUGUUGAGACAUGCCCUGGUUUGCAGAGAACAGCAUUCAGUUUAGUUUCACUUUGCAAGAUAAGCUUCAGGUUGUGUUCGUGUGCGUCAGUGACCACAAAACCACACCUACACAGUAAAGUUUAUACAUAGAAAUAGUGCCUGUGCAUCUGUAUUAGGAAAGUAUACAUUAAAGCUUUCAACAAGUA